UACGGGGGGAGCAAGCGUUGUUCGGAUUUACUGGGCGUAAAGGGCGCGUAGGCGGCCACCGCGAGUCGACUGUGAAAUCUCCGGGCUUAACCCGGAAAGGUCAGCCGAUACUGCGGGGCUAGAGUGCAGAAGGGGCAACUGGAAUUCUCGGUGUAGCGGUGAAAUGCGUAGAUAUCGAGAGGAACACCUGCGGCGAAGGCGGGUUGCUGGGCUGACACUGACGCUGAGGCGCGAAAGCUAGGGGAGCGAACGGG
rnacentral:rRNA from 1 species